rnacentral:rRNA from 1 species
GGCAGCCGCGGUAAUUCCAGCUCCAAUAGCGUAUAUUAAAGUUGUUGCAGUUAAAAAGCUCGUAGUUGAAUUUCGAGAUCAAAUUGUUGGUCGUGCCUUGGUACGUACUGGCAUUAUUGAUUUCUCCCUUCUGAAGAACCUUGAUGUCAUUAAUUUGGUGUCUUGGGGAAUCAGGACCGUUACUUUGAAAAAUUAGAGUGUUUAAAGCAGGCUCACGCUUGAAUACAUUAGCAUGGAAUAAUGAAAUAGGACGUUUGAUUCUAUUUUGUUGGUUUCUAGGAUCGACGUAAUGAUUAAUAGGGAUAGUUGGGGGCAUUAGUAUUCAAUUGUCAGAGGUGAAAUUCUUGGAUUUAUUGAAGACUAACUACUGCGAAAGCAUUUGCCAAGGAUGUUUUCAUUAAUCAAGAACGAAAGUUAGGGGAUCGAAGACGAUCAGAUACCGUCGUAGUCUUAACCAUAAACUAUGCCGACUAGGGAUCGGAUGAUGUUAAUUUUUAAUGACUCAUUCGGCGCCUUACGG